rnacentral:rRNA from 1 species
GGUUAAGCGACUAAGCGUACACGGUGGAUGCCCUGGCAGUCAGAGGCGAUGAAGGACGUGCUAAUCUGCGAUAAGCGUCGGUGAGGUGAUAUGAACCGUUAUAACCGGCGAUUUCCGAAUGGGGAAACCCAGUGUGAUUCGUCACACUAUCAUUAACUGAAUCCAUAGGUUAAUGAGGCGAACCGGGGGAACUGAAACAUCUAAGUACCCCGAGGAAAAGAAAUCAACCGAGAUUCCCCCAGUAGCGGCGAGCGAACGGGGAGGAGCCCAGAGCCUGAAUCAGUGUGUGUGUUAGUGGAAGCGUCUGGAAAGGCGCGCGAUACAGGGUGACAGCCCCGUACACAAAAAUGCACAUACUGUGAGCUCGAUGAGUAGGGCGGGACACGUGGUAUCCUGUCUGAAUAUGGGGGGACCAUCCUCCAAGGCUAAAUACUCCUGACUGACCGAUAGUGAACCAGUACCGUGAGGGAAAGGCGAAAAGAACCCCGGCGAGGGGAGUGAAAAAGAACCUGAAACCGUGUACGUACAAGCAGUGGGAGCCUCUUAAUGGGGUGACUGCGUACCUUUUGUAUAAUGGGUCAGCGACUUAUAUUCUGUAGCAAGGUUAACCGAAUAGGGGAGCCGAAGGGAAACCGAGUCUUAACUGGGCGUUAAGUUGCAGGGUAUAGACCCGAAACCCGGUGAUCUAGCCAUGGGCAGGUUGAAGGUUGGGUAACACUAACUGGAGGACCGAACCGACUAAUGUUGAAAAAUUAGCGGAUGACUUGUGGCUGGGGGUGAAAGGCCAAUCAAACCGGGAGAUAGCUGGUUCUCCCCGAAAGCUAUUUAGGUAGCGCCUCGUGAAUUCAUCUCCGGGGGUAGAGCACUGUUUCGGCAAGGGGGUCAUCCCGACUUACCAACCCGAUGCAAACUGCGAAUACCGGAGAAUGUUAUCACGGGAGACACACGGCGGGUGCUAACGUCCGUCGUGAAGAGGGAAACAACCCAGACCGCCAGCUAAGGUCCCAAAGUCAUGGUUAAGUGGGAAACGAUGUGGGAAGGCCCAGACAGCCAGGAUGUUGGCUUAGAAGCAGCCAUCAUUUAAAGAAAGCGUAAUAGCUCACUGGUCGAGUCGGCCUGCGCGGAAGAUGUAACGGGGCUAAACCAUGCACCGAAGCUGCGGCAGCGACGCUUAUGCGUUGUUGGGUAGGGGAGCGUUCUGUAAGCCUGUGAAGGUGGCCUGUGAGGGUUGCUGGAGGUAUCAGAAGUGCGAAUGCUGACAUAAGUAACGAUAAAGCGGGUGAAAAGCCCGCUCGCCGGAAGACCAAGGGUUCCUGUCCAACGUUAAUCGGGGCAGGGUGAGUCGACCCCUAAGGCGAGGCCGAAAGGCGUAGUCGAUGGGAAACAGGUUAAUAUUCCUGUACUUGGUGUUACUGCGAAGGGGGGACGGAGAAGGCUAUGUUGGCCGGGCGACGGUUGUCCCGGUUUAAGCGUGUAGGCUGGUUUUCCAGGCAAAUCCGGAAAAUCAAGGCUGAGGCGUGAUGACGAGGCACUACGGUGCUGAAGCGACAAAUGCCCUGCUUCCAGGAAAAGCCUCUAAGCAUCAGGUAACAUCAAAUCGUACCCCAAACCGACACAGGUGGUCAGGUAGAGAAUACCAAGGCGCUUGAGAGAACUCGGGUGAAGGAACUAGGCAAAAUGGUGCCGUAACUUCGGGAGAAGGCACGCUGAUAUGUAGGUGAAGCGACUUGCUCGUGGAGCUGAAAUCAGUCGAAGAUACCAGCUGGCUGCAACUGUUUAUUAAAAACACAGCACUGUGCAAACACGAAAGUGGACGUAUACGGUGUGACGCCUGCCCGGUGCCGGAAGGUUAAUUGAUGGGGUUAGCGGUAACGCGAAGCUCUUGAUCGAAGCCCCGGUAAACGGCGGCCGUAACUAUAACGGUCCUAAGGUAGCGAAAUUCCUUGUCGGGUAAGUUCCGACCUGCACGAAUGGCGUAAUGAUGGCCAGGCUGUCUCCACCCGAGACUCAGUGAAAUUGAACUCGCUGUGAAGAUGCAGUGUACCCGCGGCAAGACGGAAAGACCCCGUGAACCUUUACUAUAGCUUGACACUGAACAUUGAGCCUUGAUGUGUAGGAUAGGUGGGAGGCUUUGAAGUGUGGACGCCAGUCUGCAUGGAGCCGACCUUGAAAUACCACCCUUUAAUGUUUGAUGUUCUAACGUGGGCCCCUUACCGGGGUUGCGGACAGUGUCUGGUGGGUAGUUUGACUGGGGCGGUCUCCUCCUAAAGAGUAACGGAGGAGCACGAAGGUUGGCUAAUCCUGGUCGGACAUCAGGAGGUUAGUGCAAUGGCAUAAGCCAGCUUGACUGCGAGCGUGACGGCGCGAGCAGGUGCGAAAGCAGGUCAUAGUGAUCCGGUGGUUCUGAAUGGAAGGGCCAUCGCUCAACGGAUAAAAGGUACUCCGGGGAUAACAGGCUGAUACCGCCCAAGAGUUCAUAUCGACGGCGGUGUUUGGCACCUCGAUGUCGGCUCAUCACAUCCUGGGGCUGAAGUAGGUCCCAAGGGUAUGGCUGUUCGCCAUUUAAAGUGGUACGCGAGCUGGGUUUAGAACGUCGUGAGACAGUUCGGUCCCUAUCUGCCGUGGGCGCUGGAGAACUGAGGGGGGCUGCUCCUAGUACGAGAGGACCGGAGUGGACGCAUCACUGGUGUUCGGGUUGUCAUGCCAAUGGCACUGCCCGGUAGCUAAAUGCGGAAGAGAUAAGUGCUGAAAGCAUCUAAGCACGAAACUUGCCCCGAGAUGAGUUCUCCCUGAGACUUAGAGUCUCCUGAAGGAACGUUGAAGACGACGACGUUGAUAGGCCGGGUGUGUAAGCGCAGCGAUGCGUUGAGCUAACCGGUACUAAUGAACCGUGAGGCUUAACCUU